rnacentral:rRNA from 1 species
UACAGAGGUCUCGAGCGUUGUUCGGAUUCAUUGGGCGUAAAGGGUGCGUAGGCGGCGCGGUAAGUCGGGUGUGAAAUCUUGGAGCUUAACUCCGAAACUGCAUUCGAUACUGCCGUGCUUUGAGGACUGGAGAGGAGACUGGAAUUUACGGUGUAGCGGUGAAAUGCGUAGAUAUCGUAAGGAAGACCAGUGGCGAAGGCGGGGUCUCGUGGACGAGUUCCUGA